GAUGAGCUCGCGUCCGAUUAGAUAGUUGGCGGGGUAACGGCCCACCAAGUCUGCGAUCGGUAGCCGGACUGAGAGGUCGAACGGCCACAUUGGGACUGAGAUACGGCCCAGACUCCUACGGGAGGCAGCAGUGGGGAAUAUUGGGCAAUGGGCGAAAGCCUGACCCAGCAACGCCGCGUGAAGGAUGAAGGUUUUCGGAUUGUAAACUUCUUUGACCAAGGACGAUAAUGACGGUACUUGGAAAACAAGCCACGACUAACUACGUGCCAGCAGCCGCGGUAAUACGUAGGUGGCGAGCGUUGUCCGGAUUUACUGGGUGUAAAGGGCGUGUAGGCGGGAGAUCAAGUCAGAUGUGAAAUACCGCAGCUUAACUGCGGGGCUGCAUUUGAAACUGAACUUCUUGAGUGAUGGAGAGGCAAGCGGAAUUCCUAGUGUAGCGGUGAAAUGCGUAGAUAUUAGGAGGAACACCAGUGGCGAAGGCGGCUUGCUGGACAUUAACUGACGCUGAGGCGCGAAAGCGUGGGGAGCAAACAGGAUUAGAUACCCUGGUAGUCCACGCUGUAAA
rnacentral:rRNA from 1 species